rnacentral:rRNA from 1 species
CGAAAGUUAGAGGUUCGAAGGCGAUCAGAUACCGCCCUAGUUCUAACCAUAAACGAUGCCAGCCAGCGAUCCGGCUGCGUUCCUCAAAUGACGCGCCGGGCAGCUUCCGGGAAACCAAAGCUUUUGGGUUCCGGGGGAAGUAUGGUUGCAAGGCUUAAACUUAAAGGAAUUGACGGAAGGGCACCACCAGGAUUGGAGCCUGCGGCUUAAUUUGACUCAACACGGGGAAACUCACCCGAACCGGACACAGGAAGGAUUGACAGAUUAAGAGCUCUUUCUUGAUUCUGUGGGUGGUGGUGCAUGGCCGUUUCUAGUUGGUGGAGUGAUUUGUCUGCUUAAUUGCGUCAACGAACGAGAUUCUAGCCUGCUAAAUAGGCGUUCCGAUCCUUCGAGUCGGACGCUCUUCUUAGAGGGACAGGCGGCGUUUAGCCGCACGAGACAGAGCUAAAACAGGUCUGUGAUGCCCUUCGAUGUCCGGGGCCGCACGCGCGCUACAUUGAAGGAAUCAGCGUGUGCUUUCCCUGUCCGACAGGACUGGGUAACCCGUUGAACCUCCUUCGUGCUGGGGAUAGCAACUUGCAAUUAUUUUGCUUGAACGAGGAAUUCCCAGUAAGCACGAGUCAUCAGCUCGUGUUGACUAUGUCCCUGCCCUUUGUGCACACCGCCCGUCGCUACUACCGAUUGAAUGGUUUAGUGAGGUCCUCGGACUGGCGCUCGGAUUGGCUUUCGGGUCGAGCCGACGUGCCGGAAAGAUGACCAAACUUGAUCAUUUAGAGGAAGUAAAAGUCGUAACAAGG